UCUAAGGAGAUUUAGAAAGCAAAGAAAUUGGUCAAACGUUUCCUGUUCAGUUUUGAGAGACUUUUUCUCUCGAUUUUGGUAGUGAUGUUCUUUGAAAACUAAAUAACAGAAAAGAAGAUAGAGAUAGACAUUAGAGAAAUAGUAAUAUGUUAUCAACAUGAUCUUUUCGAAUAGUUGAAGUAAAAACUAGAUUUUAUAAAGUUAAACAAAACAGUUAAAACUUAAGCAAAACCAAGAAAUAAAAACCAAAGCAUUAGACUUUGGUCGCGAAAUUACAUGUGAUUAAAUAUGUAA
rnacentral:misc_RNA from 1 species